CCGGAUGCGGAUCUUGAAAGCCUGUCCCAGUUCGGACUGGAGUCUGCAACCCGACUCCACGAAGUUGGAUUCGCUAGUAAUCGCGCAUCAGCCAUGGCGCGGUGAAUACGUUCCCGGGCCUUGUACACACCGCCCGUCAAGCCAUGGGAGCCGGGGGCGCCUGAAGUCCGGGACCGCGAGGACCGGCCUAGGGCGAAACUGGUAACUGGGGCUAAGUCGUAACAAGGUACC
rnacentral:rRNA from 1 species